UUGAGAAAAUCUUAUUUCUAUUCAAAUAAAAAAUAUUAAUUUGAUUUUACCUUUUUUAGUUUUUCAUUCAUUUAAUAUCUAGCUAUUAUGUGAUGCUCGCUAUUUAGAGAUGGAAAUUAACAUAUUUAAAUUCUAAAAUGUGGAUCAGUGAAAAAUGGCGGUUUUACCCGGUGGAAAAUUUGAAGUGAUAGAGUAUUAUUGGUUUGAAUCAGGCAAAUAUUUUUUAUGUUAAUCAUAUUUAUUUACAGAUUCUACUUACAUUAUAUCUCAAUAUUGAAUUAAAUAAAUUUAACCUAAAAUUAGCCAUCACCCACCUUUAAAGUAAUUAAAUUAUACUGUAGUUCUCGAGUAUAGGCUCUUUUUUUGCCCCACUCCUUUUUAAUAAGCCUAUAGAGGUAUAAGCAAUAUUUUUCGAAAUUUUGUGCCUACAAGUACGUGCGGCUUGCCAACAAACGUGUGGAGGGCUCCUCAUAUUUUUACUUUUUACCCAAAUUAAAUUGUUCUAAUUAGAUGGAAGUGAGGAAAACCUAGCGUAGCUCUGUUGAACCUUCAACGCUAGAGGGCAAAAGCUAUAUAUCACGCAUCACAGUUUGGAACCGAAAUUGAGAAUUUGAAACCCUUGGAACAGCUGUUCAAAUUUAGGAAAUUUGAAUCAGAGUUAGCAAAAUUUUUAGAAAUCCAAACUGGAACUUUUAUUAUAAUUAUUAAAAAAUAUUUAGAAACUGAAAUGGAAACAUUUAUAAAUUUAGAAACGGAAAUAUAAUAUUUUUAAGUCCAGAUUCCCAGAAAUAUCGCUUGAAUGUCGAGCUAGCAACGAUGAAAGGAAGGGCGUACAUUUUCUAUCAGG